CAAGCCUCAAGGGUACUGAAAUUGGAGAGAAAUAGUCUGGAGUAUCUUCUACACCACUUUUGUGGAGUAACUGCUAAUAAAGAGUUGGUUAUAAUAACCCUGCUCUCUAAUUUGUUCAUAAGGGAGUAAUAUUUUCCUGUACGUUUGUUGUUUCAGGUGCGAAUAACUGCUUCUUGGGCUUUGGCAAACAUAUGUGAUUCUAUCCGGCACUGUAUUGAUACUCUGGCUUUGGAAGGCUCCACAGGAGCCAGAGUCCUUGGGAUGCUUGUUAGAGUUGUCAUGGAAUGGACAGAAGUCACUGUCAUUGAAAGGGGCAACCCGUAAAUUCCUAGAAGAUGGUGAUAAAGUUAUCAUCACUGGUUUUUGCAAAGUUCUUUGAUUCACUAAGACCUCUCUUUUAUUUUUAUAUUUAAUGUGAUAAACACUCUCUAUUAGUACCAAGGCACUCAAAGUACUAAGUCAUUUGCUUUAGAAUGUUUAAUUGCUCUAUACUCAUUUUGAAAAGAUACAUAAUCUACCAGGGAAAAGUAUAAGAUAUAGAAACGGGGGACAAUUUUGAAUAUUGAGCUGAACCAAUAGAGGGAAAUUUAAAAUCUGAACUUUUCAUCAGUUUGAUGCGUUUGCAUGAUUCUGUGAACAUUCUGCCCCAUAUUGAUAACAAAAAAUUAAAAUAGAAAUCUAAAUUAUGUGGAGGUCAUGUCAAGUUAGAUAAUGUCUACUAGCAAAUCUUAGCUAGUUUGGUAUGGUCUCAUUCCAUGGCAAGUAUAAUAAAUAAUUUAAUGGCUACAGAAUAGAGAGAAUGGGGGAUUACACUCUUAUAUUUUUUUUUAGUGGACAAAUCUUAAUGAAUAGAAAUCUAAAUUUACAAUUAUAUGCUUCACUUUUGUCCCACUACUUGAAAAUUAGCUAAAAACGUGUACUUUGAAGACUAAAUAUCUUUAUUAAACUUUAAUAAAUCAAAAUUUAAUAAACGUCUCUUUUUGAGCUAUUUUUUCUUGUUGGUUUCAGUUCUUUCAAUAAAAUUUUCCAACUUUUGACUUGUGUUAAGGGUUUGACACUACUGUUGAGGAAGCACAACGAGCCAUUAAUUCAGCUUACAUCGAGUGGCAUUUAAAUCUUGGGAGGAUCAUAGAAAACAACUUGAAUUGGAGAAGGCUCGUAAAUCUGGGCUUGCACCAAUAGAGGUUGAUGAAGACGGCAAAGAGAUUAACUUUCAUAUUCCUCUAUAUGUCAUUUUUGAGAACCGAUGCUGAACAGAGAGAAGUAGAUACCUGGCACUUCAUGUAAACAGCCCCUUGGCUGGGUUUACUUCCCAGUGCUGAUGGGAAAGUAUUACAUUCUCAAGAUGGUGGAGAUAGUCCAAUUCUCAGUCUCUUUAAAUUAGUCACUGCUGCAAUAUUAUCUAAGCCAGGGUGCCCAAAUCCAACCUCUUUCAGCACCCUAUGAUUUUCCAUUAUGUCAUAUUUUAUAUAUUUCUUUGAAGUAGAACCUGUUUUAUGGUCUCUACAGAGAUUUCUUUGUAUUAACUAGAGUUUUCCAAUUUUCUCAGGAAAUCAAAUCCUUGUUUCCUGCCGAUUGCAAUCCAUUCUAAGCUGGUUUUGGAAAUAGAGAUACAGAUGAAGUUAGCUACCUUAAGGUCGGAAUUCCACUAGGAAAAAAUUUCUAUGCCUGAAAAUGAGCAAAGUCAGAACUGAAAGAGCUUCUUCAGAGCUUUGGAAGGUUGCGGGUUUAGCUGUUGUUUGUGUUAUAUGUUUCACCUCUAAUGCUUU